AUGAAUGAAUGAAUGAAUG
rnacentral:piRNA from 1 species